ACGACGGGACCCGUCCCUGAGCCUUGGGUUUGGGUGGAGGAGGGACACUCAGCUGUGAGCAGGUGGCCUGGGCUGAGUGAAUGUAGACAGGCGGGGAGGCCUGUGGGCCACGGGCUGUUCAGCUGCCACUCUGGGAACAGACACCUACAAGAGCCAUGCGCCCGGUUCCUGGGGCAAGGACGUGGGCUGCUCUCACCAAGUGGGGCCCUGCAGAGAGGCUCGCCUCUUAGAAGUGAACCACCCACCAUUAGCAGUGUCGGUGGAAGAGCAAGGGCAUCAGGGACCCAUGGAAACAGCGAGGUGGGCUGCGAUGAGAGUGCUGCCUCCUGGUAUGGUAGUGAUGACGGUCACAGCAGCUGCUCUCUGUGGCCCUCCUGUGUCCACAGCUGGUGCUGAGCCACAUAUGUGCCAGGUGCACACACACGCACAUGCAUGCAGGCAUGCACCUGCACACACUGAUGUGCACACACAGACAUAUGUGGAGACAGAUGCACACACAGGUCUCUGUACACACGUAUGCAUGCACAGGCACCUGUGUACACACGCGUACAGAUGUGCCUACAGCAUCCUGUCUGUGCCAUGCACAGACAUAGGUACAUGGAAACAGAUGCACAUACAGGUCUGUAUACACACGUAUGCAUGCACACACAGGCACCUGUGUCCACACACACACAGAUGCACCCACAGUAUCCCACCUGUGCCACACACAGACAUAGGUACAUGGAGACAGAUGCCAUACACACAGGUCUAUGCAUACACGUACAUACGCAUGCACAGGCACCUGUGUAAACACAUACAGAUGCGCCCACAGCAUCCCAUCUGUGCCACACACAGACAUAGGUACAUGGAGACAGAUGCACACACAGGUCUAUGCACACACGUACGCAUGCACAGGCACCUGCGUAUACACAUACAGAUGCACCCGCAAUAUCCCAUCUGGGUCACACACAGACAUGUAUGUAUGCACACACUUACAUACGCAUGCACAGGUACCUGUGCACACACACAUACAGAUGCACCCGCAGCGUCCCGUCUGUGCUGCCCUAUUAGGUUUGAUCAUUUGGGGAAUCUUCCUAAAGCCCUGAAAGCUAGGGUAGGUCAGCUUGAGCAGGAGCUGCGGGGUCUGGGGGACCCCUGAGGGCAGGACAGUCACGGACCCACAGUUGAGCUGGGCCCACUGAGCCCUGGAUCCUUCUUGGUGUCUCAUCAUGGCAAGCAAGCAAGCGUGAGCUCUUGUGGGUCUCCAGAAGCCUAUGAGGACCAGUGGCCCAGGUGGGAACAAGGCUUGGCCUCCUCUUCUGGGGGGAACACCAGGGCAGGCCUGAGGAGGCCUGUGUCCCCAGCCUGUCAUCGCUGUGGCUCCGCUUCUCAGGGCGCCUAGGAAGAAGGUGUGGCAAGAGCCCGAGGUGUUGAUUGCACCUGGCAGGGCCUGUGGGCGUCAAUUUAGAUGCAUCCGUGCUCACUGCAGCAUUCCAGGGUUUGCCCUUAUGCUCGGCUGUGUGAGGGUGAGGAUGAUGCUUGGAGGGCAUGCACAAUGGGUGUGUUUCAGCCUCCUCUUC